UUGGCGGCAGGCGUUGGCAGCAGUGUUGGUUGUGGGUGUUGGCGGCGGUGCGGGCUGUGGGCAUUGGCGGUUGUGCUGGCGUGGAUAGGUUUCCGCAUCGGACCACAAUAACAACAACGCCUUUACUUCCUCCUCCGAUGGUGUUGACGGUGGUGUUGCCUCCUGCCACAUAGUGGUGCUGCCUUCUAAAAUAGAUAAAUCUCGAAAUAAAUCUUAUAAUUGGUGUCAUUGUUGUGCUGUUGAGUUUGCAUAUCCCUAUUUUCUUGCCUUUGCUUUUGCC
rnacentral:lncRNA from 1 species